UACAUGUGGGGCAAGCGUUGUUCGGAAUUACUGGGCGUAAAGGGCGCGCAGGCGGCGCAUUUUGUCAGGCGUGAAAGCCCCGGGCUUAACCUGGGAACUGCGUUUGAUACGGAUGGGCUAGAGUGCGGGAGAGGAGAGUGGAAUUCCUGGUGUAGCGGUGAAAUGCGCAGAUAUCAGGAAGAACACCCGUGGCGAAGGCGGCUCUCUGGAACGCAACUGACGCUGAGACGCGGAAGCGUGGGGAGCAAACAGG
rnacentral:rRNA from 1 species